CCUACGGGUGGCUGCAGUGGGGAAUAUUGCGCAAUGGGCGAAAGCCUGACGCAGCGACGCCGCGUGAAGGAUGAAGGUCUUCGGAUCGUAAACCUCUGUCAGCAGGGAAGAACGGUCACUGUGCUAAUCAGCAAUGAAUUGCCGGUACCUGCAAAGCAACCACCGUCUAACUCCGUGCCAGCAGCCUCUGUAAUACGGAGGGUGCGAGCGUUAGUCGGAAUUACUGGGCGUAAAGCGCUCGUAGGCGGGAUGUUAAGUCACGGGUGAAAUCCUCGAGCUCAACGGGGGAACUGCCUUUGAAACUGGCAAACUGGAGUGUGGGAGAGGUUAGUGGAAUUCGAGGUGUAGGAGUGAAAUCCGUAGAUAUCAGGAGGAACA
rnacentral:rRNA from 1 species